UUUCAGUGCCGACGCUACAUCCUCCUACUCUAAACUGAGAAGUGAAAGAUUACCGUGUGUGGUUCAUUAAGGAUGUUUUAUUUUGUCUGCUAUUUAUUUCCCCCAUCUAUUGUCUCCCCACCCUCUCAGCGAAAGUCUCGGUGGAGCCGCAGCCCGGGCGCUCAGCGGCGAAGAGAUAAACGCAGAAAACGAACUGGAAGAAAACAGACACGGGCUACCAGUCCACGGCCAAAGAGAGAUGAUUACACUGCAUCGCCAGCUUGCCUCAUCUGAAUCCCUGACUCCUGACCUCCCCUGAGGAAGGUGCUCACUGUCAGAAGAACCCCCAGCAUCCUACCGCCACAGAAAGGUGAUUCCUUUAAAGCGGCAGAAACGGAUGAGGGAGCGAGGGGGCUGCGCGAGGCGGGCAGACGGGGAGGGGAGCUGUCGCUUGUGUCAGGUUAACCUCAGAGACGCAUUCGGAGCUCAGCAUCUGGGAGAUGGAGGGGACGCACGUCUAUCCAUUUGGUGCAACCCCCCUCCCUCCCCAACAAUAAAAAAAGGCUACAAUGCCAAAAUUUGUGCACUGUCAGUCCCACGGGCUGCGUUUAUUCCCAGAUUUAUGUUAAUAGCACUGCUGUAUUAAGUUUUAGACAGAGAGGGAGGAAGAGAGAGAGAGAGAGAGCAAUGCAUGCAGAAAGGAAGAUGCUACUGAUGCUUCUGCAACACAUGUGUUAAGUCACUUCACACACCACAAUAACACCUGAACUUGCAGCAGCUGGCACUGUUAAACAUACACUCGCUCAGUCCUACCAUGGCAGCAACAGAUAGCAACAAAAGUCCUAAAUCUUUAAGGUGUAACAGCUGUUGGUCAUUAGGUGAACCAUGAAGGAAAAAAAUACCAAUGAUGUUUUUUCCUACAUAAGUGAGACACUGUGUGACCUGUAUAAGAAACUGCUGUUGCAACUGAAUAAAUCCUAAAUAGAGGCUUUUUGACGCAUAGUCGCCCCAGGUUUGAUUGCCAUCACAUGAAUCUUCAGGGGUUUUUGUGAGACACAGAUCUGUGCUGCCUGAUACAAGCAUUUUGCAUUAACAGUUAACUAUGCAUGAAUGUGGAACCCUUGUGGUUUCCGAGACCACUAUGAAUAAAGGAUGCCUUGCAAAAUAAAGCUUAAUAGAGUCACAAUAAUAAAGCUGAGAGUUUUAGUAGUGAACUCUGAAUGUAGAGACGGAUUUGACGUCAUGAGUGAGAUACAUUGGGGUUGUGUACAGAUGUUUGAUCACAGUUCUCAGAAUCAGUUAGCGCUUCCUGUCGGAUUUCUUGAAUAUAAGAUAUUUACCUACAAUGACUGGAGCCGGCAAGAUUUCAGUCAGUCAAGUAAUUAUUAAUCAUGACAUUGAAUACGUGUGAAAAGCUACAUUUCUGAAAUAAUGAAAUAUGAAUCGUUUAUGAAAUAACAUUUUUGAUUUAUGAGAUACAUUCCAGUUGCACUCCUAAACACUUUUUAGUGUGAAAUGAACUUUUACACUAUAUAUAAACAAAAACAAAUGCUGAAUGAAGUUAAAACAACUUUGUUUUGCUAGUCAAUUUUACCGUUUUGACCUGUGAUAAGUUGACAUAACUUUAAAAAACAAGUUGAAAUUGUUUAAUUGGUAACACAAAAAUAUAUGUUGAUUUUACAAAAAUGCUGCAUUUUUUCAGUGUACAUGAGUCGGUUAUUUUAUCGACUGUUUUAUAAACAUACUGAGUAGUUUUUAGAAACUAAAUAAAUGUUUAACCCAUAAACCAUGAAUCCAUUGAUGAUAAGCAAGCACACUGUAAAAAAAAUCUGUUGCCGGUAACUUACUGUAGAUUUAAAUUUAUGUUAUUUACUGGCAACAUUUUGUUCAAAGUUAAAUGAACUAAAACAUUUCCAAGUCUAUACAGAGUAAAACUAAAAUAACAGCAUUAAGCAAAGCAUUCUGGGAAACAAAAUUUGAAGCAAAAAAAAAAAAAAACAGAAAAAGGUUGAUGAUGAUUUCUGGUUCCCAUAAUGCUUUGCAUGAGGCUGGUAUUGUAUAGUUUUAUUCUGUAAAGAUAAAGACUUGUUAAUAUUGAAUAUUUAUUUAACUUUGAACAAACUCUUGCCAGUAAAUAACAUAAAUUUAAAUUUACAGUAAGUUACCGUCAACCAGCUGCAAGCACUGUAAUUUCUAUGGAAUUUUUUUACCCAUUGACUUCCGUAGUAUUUGUUUUUCAUAGAAGUCAGUUGGUAACUCAACUGUCUACUUACCUUCAUUUAUCAAAAUAUCUCCAUUUGGGGUCCAACAGAAUAAAGAAUUCAUAAAGCUUAAAAAAAAAACAUUAGGGUGAGUAAAUAAUAACAGAAUUUUUAUUUUUGGGUAAACUAUUCCUUUAAAUUAAAACCAGUUAGGAAAUGAUUUUAUCUAUAAAGCAACUUAUAAACUAUGGAUAAUUCAACAUUUUGCCUUAAGAAUCAAAUUGCAUUAACAGUUAAAACUUUUUUCCAUAAAAUUUAUGAAAUACACUGUGAUUUUUUUAAACUGUUUCUAUAUAUGCUGUAUAGUUAAGGAAGUGAUAAUAAUGUACAAAACAAAACAGGCGAACGUGUAUUUGCAUACAUUCAAAUGAUUGAUAUUCAAAUGAUCUUUACAAUAAAAAGAAAUCUUUCAAACUUACAAUUAUCAUAGUGCUUUAUUUAUAGAAUCUGCUCUCAAAGAAAACAAUCUAAUUUAGUUUAAAGCGAAUCCACACGUGAUGAAUUAUUUAAAGCAACUGGGAUCGGAAUGCCAUCAAAUCGCAGAAAACAAAGCUUUGCCCCUUGCUGAAAAAUUUCUGUUUGAGAAACAGAGAAAGAGAUGUUUAAUGCUAAACAAAGAGCGAGAAAGGGUGUAAGAGAGAGAGAGAGAGAGAGAGAGAGAGAGGGGGGAGAGAGAGAUCUCAAACUGCUUAUGCAAAAAUAAUUGGUAACCUCCAUGUAGUGUUCUGCACUAUUAUUCAAAUCUCGCCUUUGUUGGCCCUGUUUACAGGAUGUUAACUGGUGCAUUUUCACCCCAGAGUGGACCCCUAUUUUUCUCUCUGUACGGUCUAUUCUCACAGCCGUUUGAUUUACAAUUACCAAAUGUACAGUUUAUUUCUGGCUUUAUUUGUUGUUUUGAUUCUUAUGCGGGCCUAUCAAAGUUAUUCAGAGUUAUUGAACUCUUUUUUCAAGACACUAAAACAUUAAAUAAAUGUUAAAUGAAUUCAAAUCAUUGUCUCAUUGCAAUAUUAAUCCAUUAUAUGCACACCAUUCCACUUUAUUUCGGAUCACAUGUGAAAAAAUGACCUAGUUUAUUUAUGUAUGUUCAGGUAUUUAUAUAUAUCUCCGCAUGUUGCCGUGAUGUCGUAUGUACUGUAUCUGUGUCACUGCCAGGCACCAGAGCAAGAUAAGAAUCACUGUCAGUCGGUAAGCAGGUAGCGCACGCAAAAAACAAGCUAUAAAUACCGAAUGUGGUGUAGCAGGUAAAGUUUGGCGCUGUUUUCGCCCACUCUUCCCCAGCUGGAAGCAGGGUAAGAAAAGGGGGGUGGCGACGGGAAGUUCCUGCCAUCCAGCGCUCUGAACCUGCGGGUUUAUGCCGGGCUGAGCGCAGGUGGGCGCACCUCCACUCUCGCACAGCGUCGGAGAGGUUUUUGGGGGAGGGGGUACAGGGUGCGAGCCAGCCCAGACAGGCAGGGCCGCUCAGGCAGGAAACAGCAGAGGAAACCACGGGGCAGGCAGCGGAGUUUGAAGACUACGCGAACACACAAACACACACUUCUCGGGGAAACGGCGCCUCAGAAGUCACAUCAGGCUGUCUGACAACAGUGUCCCAAUUAGGAUGCCCCAUAAACAAGGGGAAGUUGUGCCUCCCUUGGGACAAACCUCAGCCCCACUUCCAUUCCUUCCCAGCGCCAUUCAAACAUGCCAAAGAUUGUGAGAUGCCACUGUAUAUCAAGCACUUUAAAGUGCCAAAGCCAUUUUUGAUAGCAUGAGGUGUCACUUAGAGAAGUAUGGUUCCUUUCUGAAUGCGGGCUGCCUGGAGAGGUCGGGAAAACUUUGCUUUGGGCUUUUAACAGAGACGUUUCUAUACCUGCAGCUUAAACCCGGCCAAUUAUCACUGCUUACUCCGUGAUCUUUAAAGCCAGGUGAGAAGGUAGAAUUCAUUGUGUGAACUUUGAUAAUGGAUCUUUGCGGUAAGACACUGGAUUUGAAUGCCGAUUGUAAGAUGCUGCACAAACAUUUGAAGACGUUGUGAAUAUUGAUAUGUACCUAUAGCUCAAUA